UGCUGUGAUGGUGUAAUUUGCGUCCUACUCAGCGUGAAGUGACAGUUGCCUGCUGUUAUAUGCUUCCGCUGGAGAUUGACGAAACUUGAAUCUGAGCU